UUUGCACCCAUCUCACAUUUCUGUCUGUUGGAGUGGUCACAUUUGUUCGUGUCUUUUUACUGUUGCAUUUUUUCGUUAAUUUGAUCCCGUGUUAUUCCAGCGUUGACCAUGGCCGUGUUCACAAACCUAGCACCACUUACGUAUCAGGGCUUUGCUAGUUUCAGGAGAAAAUUUGUGACUUUUUGUGCUGUUGUUCCCAUACCAUUCAAAUUAAAUGCGAUUCACCCUGCCGAAUUUUGUUUGAGAUUUUGAUCACCCUCAGUUCAAGGUGUCGAAUUAUACUUUAACAUGUUCUAGUUCAUGCGUUUAGUGCGUGCUAAAUAGAGAGACUAAUGGUGAAGUAGGAAUGCCGAUCUAUUUUCAGUUUUUGCAGUUUGGCUGCGACCUGAAGUUCUAUGUUUUCAAAGUUCCUCUCUGAAUUUUCAGGCGGUUGCUCUAGGUCUUGCAGUCAACCCUGGACGUUAUUGUGCUUCGAAGCGAAGUCUAUCCUGGUGCCUAGAAAUUGAGUAGUUUCCUCCCUGAGGGAAUGUCGGACAAGCGCAAAGCAGUUCGGGAGGAGGAAGUCGACGAUGAUAUCCUGGGAAUGUCAAGUGAUGGUCCGAGAAAGCAAACGCAGGCUGCACUUGCUUUCAAGAAGAAGCUCAAGUCUGACCCCGAUAUUCUUAAAAUCGUGACCAAAUUUGCCGAGGCUGCGAAGGAGGCAGACGUAGAAACACGCACUCUUGCAGACCUAAAUCUUGCUAAUAGUUGCAAGGAGGUAGUCGAGCUCAACACUCGAAGUGUUGUACUUGAGGUUGAAAAGAGCAUCUUGGCGAUCGCUAAGUCUAUUCUUAGUGGCAAUGGCUUCGGGUAUCUGAUUCCUUCACGAUCAAGUGCGAAUCAGCUGUAUGUGCCCGAGUUGGAUCGCAUUGUGCUUAAGGACAAGGCCUCAUUCCGUCAAUUUGCCAAUAUUGCGAGCGUUCGAAAGACGGCCAUCACCACUCGAAUUUUACAGCUUGUCCAUCAGCUCUGUACGAAACAAAUCCAUGUUACGAAGCGUGAUCUGUUCUAUACUGACGUGAAGCUAUUCCAGGAGCAAGGGCAGAGUGAUACUAUUCUCGAUGAUGUCUCAUGCAUGUUGGGAUGCACUAGGUCAAGUCUUAACGUUGUCGCCUCUGAGAAAGGAGUUGUAGUGGGACGGCUAAUAUUUAUCGAAGAUGGGGAUCGAAUUGACUGCACCAAGAUGGGAGUAGGUGGAAAGGCAAUUCCUCCUAACAUAGACAAGGUUCAAGGCAUGGAGAGUGAUGCUCUCUUUAUUCUUCUUGUAGAGAAGGAUGCUGCCUUCAUGCGUUUGGCAGAAGAUCGAUUUUACAACCGUUUCCCUUGUGUUAUACUCACUGCAAAAGGGCAACCGGAUGUGGCAACACGGCUGUUUUUGAAGAAAAUGAAGACCGAUUUGAAACUCCCAGUACUGGGUUUGGUUGAUAGUGAUCCUUAUGGUCUCAAAAUUCUCUCGGUUUACAUGUCUGGAUCCAAAAAUAUGUCUUAUGACAGCUCCAAUUUGACUACUCCUGACAUCAAGUGGCUCGGCGUCCGGCCCAGUGACUUGAACAAGUACAAGAUUCCCGAGCAGUGUCGUUUGCCCAUGUCAGACCAGGAUAUAAAAACCGGGAAGGAUAUGCUUGAAGAAGAUUUUAUCAAGAAGGAUAAGAACUGGGUUAAGGAGUUGGAACUGAUGGUUAAGACCAAGGAGAAGGCGGAAAUUCAAGCCCUUAGUUCCUUCGGAUUUCAGUAUCUCUCCGAGGUGUACCUGCCUCUCAAGCUACAGCAAGAAGACUGGAUUUAGUGGUGCACAACAUAGGUCUAGCUUCCCAUAUUCGUGCCUGCAACGGAUGCAGGUCCUUAUCUACUGUUCAUCUGGUAUGUUCACUACUAUGCAGCAAAGACUGGAGUCUACAGGCGAUGCAGUUGUAUUUUCGUUGCAACCAUCGAAGGAUACUGUAUCAAAGUGGGGCAACUCAUUUGCCUUCUGCUUGCCGCCAGCCUGGAAGAAGUGCAUAAGACUUCUAUAUGCAUGAUCAUAUCUGGAAAUAAAAGUGCAUUAAAUUUGUU